CCUACGGGAGGCUGCAGUGGGGAAUUUUGGACAAUGGGCGCAAGCCUGAUCCAGCAAUGCCGCGUGCAGGAUGAAGGCCUUCGGGUUGUAAACUGCUUUUGUACGGAGCGAAACGGUCUCUUUUAAUACAGGGGGCUAAUGACGGUACCGUAAGAAUAAGCACCGGCUAACUACGUGCCAGCAGCCGCGGUAAUACGUAGGGUGCGAGCGUUAAUCGGAAUUACUGGGCGUAAAUUGUGCGCAAGAGGUGAAAUCCCCGGGCUUAACCUGGGACCUGCAUUUGUGACUGCAAGGCUGGAGUACGGUAGAGGGGGAUGGAAUUCCGCGUGUAGCAGUGAAAUGCGUAGAUAUGCGGAGGAACACCGAUGGCGAAGGCAAUCCCCUGGACCUGUACUGACGCUCAUGCACGAAAGCGUGGGGAGCAAACAGGAUUAGAUACCCUAGUAGUC
rnacentral:rRNA from 1 species